AGAUGGUGACAUGUGGCACCAAGUUCAGCCACAUUUCACCCUAUAAAUACCACCUCUCCCACCCUCAUUUUCUUCACACCUUUCCCAUUCUUUCUUCUCUUUACUCUCUCUCUCUCUCUAGAACCUCUCUCUAGCCCCGAAAUCCCCCGAAAAGCCUAGGGAACCUCCCUAGCACGAGGCGGAAGCCCCGGAGUGCUCGAAGGCUCCGAGAAGAAGAGCUUUUCGGCUCGGGAACGCUGCUCCAAGCAAAGCCCGGUUUUCUAUAAAACCCGCUGUUUCGUCGAAGAAAAUUCUUUUUAAGAAGCGAAGCGCUGUCUGAGUUCGGAAUCACCACCUUUUCAGGUAGUGGCGCUUGAGCAUAUAUAUGAUGUUUGGAUGAGGGAUUACGGAUAUAGGCCUGUAGAUAUGAAAUAAUGUAGUAAGGCUUGUAUUGUACUGUUUAUGCUUUUGAUCUGUACGAACAUGACAUCCCGAGUCUUUUAAUGAAAUACAUUUCUAUGGAAAUGCUUUUGAUAAAUCUUUAUCAUAUUAUUGUUUUGGGACAAAUUCCGCAACACUUUCAUUUAAAAUGUUACUCUGAUUUUUAAACAAAGCAUAAACAAACCGGUCUUUUCUGGCCGUGAUUUUGGGGAUGUCACAGAACCCGUGCACAAAACCGCGAUCCUACUCGGCGAGUUUGGACUC